rnacentral:rRNA from 1 species
UGCGUAGGGGGCAAGCGUUGUCCGGAUUUAUUGGGCGUAAAGAGCGUGUAGGCGGCUUGGUAGGUCCGCUGUGAAAACUCGAGGCUCAACCUCGAGAUGUCGGCGGAAACCACUUGGCUAGAGUCCGGAAGAGGAGAGUGGAAUUCCCGGUGUAGCGGUGAAAUGCGCAGAUAUCGGGAAGAACACCGAUGGCGAAGGCAGCUCUCUGGGACGGUACUGACGCUGAGACGCGAAAGCGUGGGGAGCGAACAGG